rnacentral:rRNA from 2 species
UAGCGGAGGAAAAGAAACCAACAGGGAUUGCCUUAGUAGCGGCGAGUGAAGCGGCAAAAGCUCAAAUUUGAAAUCUGGCACUUUCAGUGUCCGAGUUGUAAUUUGAAGAAGGUAUCUUUGGGUCUGGCUCUUGUCUAUGUUUCUUGGAACAGAACGUCACAGAGGGUGAGAAUCCCGUGCGAUGAGAUGACCCAGACCUAUGUAAAGUUCCUUCGAAGAGUCGAGUUGUUUGGGAAUGCAGCUCUAAGUGGGUGGUAAAUUCCAUCUAAAGCUAAAUAUUGGCGAGAGACCGAUAGCGAACAAGUACAGUGAUGGAAAGAUGAAAAGAACUUUGAAAAGAGAGUGAAAAAGUACGUGAAAUUGUUGAAAGGGAAGGGCUUGAGAUCAGACUUGGUAUUUUGUAUGUUACUCUUUCGGGGGUGGCCUCUACAGUUUACCGGGCCAGCAUCAGUUUGGGCGGUAGGAGAAUUGCAAAGAAAUGUGGCACUGCUUCGGUAGUGUGUUAUAGUCUUUGUCGAUACUGCCAGCCUAGACUGAGGACUGCGGCUUCGGCCUAGGAUGUUGGCAUAAUGAUCUUAAGUCGCCCGUCU